rnacentral:rRNA from 1 species
CUUCAAGGGUGCCUGAAGUACAGAAUCUACUACCUUGGCCUAUAACUAUAGCUUCUGAGGCUGUUUUAGAUAAAUUGGAUAAUUUUGAUUAUCUGAGCAACCUUUAUAAGUUUUUCUGUGGUGAUACUCAUGUAAAAGUUCUCUUCUCAGGUGCGCCGGCCAAUGGAGUCCUUCAAGUUGCGCUCGCCUCCUCUAAGGGUAGUUACGUCGAUACUAAUUUUAAUGCAGGCAACUCUAUAGCCGUGUCCCAUCAGGCUGUCUGGCCCUUAAUUGAGUUUACCUAUCCUUAUCUCUCUACUUUGGAGUACCAGGCACUAGAUACACCCUCGCUCCUGGCUCCCAGUACAUAUGGGUUUGUAGUAGACGACACCGCCACGAUCUCAAAGAUGUGGAUAGGUGCAAGCCCCAGUUUCAGACUAAGUUACCUCAUGCCUGUUCCUGAUUUUGUCUACCCCGCACAGUUCCAAGCUGCUAACUUCAAUCACAACGAGUAUACGUUUGCAGGUAGGUUUGAGAAUCUCUAUGGAGACUCUUAUGUUACUAUACCCCUACCUUCACUACCUGACGUUUACUUGGUGUCUUUUGAACUCCAGAGUGCCCUUACUCGCAGUGAUGGAUCUACAAAUGAUUCUUUUCUUUUAUUUCUCUCCUCUUUCAUUCACGGGGGUCCAAUAAGUUUCAAUGAGCAGUUGCAAGACGUUUACGUCUCUAAUUUACUACAAUGGACUGACGUUACGAAUAGUGGGAACUACACUGUUUCCCAGUCACGAUAAACAAACUUGGAAAUAGCUGGUUCUCUCCGAAAACUAUUUAGGUAGUGCCUCAAGUAUUACCGUCGGGGGUAGAGCACUGUUUUGGCUAGGGGGUCAUGGCGACUUACCAAACCAAGGCAAACUCCGAAUACCGAUGAGUACAGCUUGGGAGACAGAGCACCGGGUGCUAACGUCCGGACUCAAGAGGGAAACAACCCAGACCGCCAGCUAAGGUCCCUAAAAUUGGCUAAGUGGGAAACGAAGUGGGAAGGCUAAAACAGUCAGGAUGUUGGCUUAGAAGCAGCCAUCAUUUAAAGAAAGCGUAAUAGCUCACUGAUCGAGUCGUCCUGCGCGGAAGAUGUAACGGGGCUAAGCCAGUUACCGAAGCUGCGGAUUUGCAAUUUAUUGCAAGUGGUAGGAGAGCGUUCUGUAAGCCUGUGAAGGUGGCUUGUAAAGGCUGCUGGAGGUAUCAGAAGUGCGAAUGCUGACAUGAGUAGCGUUAAAGGGGGUGAAAAGCCCCCUCGCCGUAAGCGCAAGGUUUUCUACGCAACGUUCAUCGGCGUAGAGUGAGUCGGCCCCUAAGGCGAGGCAGAGAUGCGUAGCUGAUGGGAAACAGGUCAAUAUUCCUGUACCGAUCAAUAGUGCGAUGUGGGGACGGAGAAGGUUAGCUCAGCAGACUGUUGGAUAUGUCUGUUCAAGCCUGUAGUCGUGCCUGGUAGGCAAAUCCGCCGGGCUUAGAUGAGGGGUGAUAACGAGGGUGCUUGCACCUGAAGUGAGUGAUACCCUGCUUCCAGGAAAAGCCACUAAGCUUCAGCUAUUGACGACCGUACCGCAAACCGACACUGGUGCGCGAGAUGAGUAUUCUAAGGCGCUUGAGAGAACUCAGGAGAAGGAACUCGGCAAAUUGAUACCGUAACUUCGGGAGAAGGUAUGCCCCAAGUAGGUGAACUCGUACAGAGGGAGCCCAAAGGGGUUGCAAAAAAUCGGUGGCUGCGACUGUUUAAUAAAAACACAGCACUCUGCAAACACGAAAGUGGACGUAUAGGGUGUGACGCCUGCCCGGUGCUGGAAGAUUAAAUGAUGGGGUGCAAGCUCUUGAUUGAAGUCCCAGUAAACGGCGGCCGUAACUAUAACGGUCCUAAGGUAGCGAAAUUCCUUGUCGGGUAAGUUCCGACCUGCACGAAUGGCGUAACGAUGGCCACACUGUCUCCUCCUGAGACUCAGCGAAGUUGAAAUGUUUGUGAUGAUGCAAUCUCCCCGCGGAAAGACGGAAAGACCCCAUGAACCUUUACUGUAGCUUUGUAUUGGACUUUGAACAGAUCUGUGUAGGAUAGGUGGGAGGCUUUGAAGUGCGGUCGCUAGAUCGCAUGGAGCCGACGUUGAAAUACCACCCUGGUGUGUUUGAGGUUCUAACCUAGGUCCCUUAUCGGGAUCGGGGACAGUGCAUGGUAGGCAGUUUGACUGGGGCGGUCUCCUCCCAAAGCGUAACGGAGGAGUUCGAAGGUACGCUAGGUACGGUCGGACAUCGUGCUAAUAGUGCAAUGGCAUAAGCGUGCUUAACUGCGAGACUGACAAGUCGAGCAGAUGCGAAAGCAGGACAUAGUGAUCCGGUGGUUCUGUAUGGAAGGGCCAUCGCUCAACGGAUAAAAGGUACUCUGGGGAUAACAGGCUGAUACCGCCCAAGAGUUCAUAUCGACGGCGGUGUUUGGCACCUCGAUGUCGGCUCAUCUCAUCCUGGGGCUGUAGCCGGUCCCAAGGGUAUGGCUGUUCGCCAUUUAAAGAGGUACGUGAGCUGGGUUUAAAACGUCGUGAGACAGUUUGGUCCCUAUCUUCCGUGGGCGCUGCAGAUUUGAGGAAGCCUGCUCCUAGUACGAGAGGACCGGAGUGGACACA